CCCCCCCACACACACACACUCGCGCUCGACACGCAGGCGACGGUGGCGGCGAUCAGGCCCGGUAUCUCAGCACGGCCGACAGUCCCAGGCUCGACGGCGGCGUCAGCGGCUCCCCUUCCCGCCUCUAGCCAGUGGCCUCGUGCCCUCGGCUCCGGUCCUCUGCACACCGGCCGGAGACCCUGCAUUUCUUUAUACGAUGAGCUGGAGAUUUCCUCUAUUCGGGUAUGUUGAUCUUAUUGAAACCAAUCUAUGCUGAUGUCACAAUCUAUGUUUUAUGAGCCCUGACAUCUCAUUUAUCUGUCUAAUUAGUUAGGUUUUACAUAUUCCUAAUUUGCUAUAUGCAUUUGGUACAUGUUUCCUUUGGAACCUGCUAGUUCAAAUACGUUGCACAAUCACAACACUAUGAUGCCCAGUUUUAGUUUUUUCUCCCUGUAUAACCCUGCAGUCCAAAAGUUCUUUAGUUAACAAAAGAGAAUUUUACCUGAUUGCUAUAUGUGCCAUUUCCUGUGGAUGCAUCUUAACAGUUAUACUGGAUGUAGGAUGCCAUAUACGAAAUUAUGCCUUACAAGUUCUGAAAAUUUUGCUUCUCUUGGUUACUGUUAUUUGCUCCUUUGAAUGCACUCAUAGCAGUUCCCAGCAGCAGCAAUCAGAUCCAAAUUUCCAGGACAUUCCUAUGCAGUCUUGGUACCCUACCUCGGUUGUAGGUUUGUCUUCAUCUCCAGCCACACCUACCUCUUCUAGCUCCAGUCCACAUCAAAGAGCUUCAAAUAAUCUGCAGUUUUCAUCCCGUGGGCAACCAUCUCCUGCUGAGGCUGCAGAGAUAAUUGCCCAUUUGAAGGACAAGAGUAUUGAGGAGUUACAGAGGCUAUUGAAAGAGAAAGAGGCAUAUAAUGCAUUCUUUAACACAUUCGAUCAAGUGAAAACCCAGAACAAUGUGCGUGGCGAGCUUAGAAAGGAGACAUUGCAACUUGCAAGGGAAAAUUUAGAAAAGGAGCAGCGGAUUUUGGAGCUUGGGAAUCAGCGGUCAGGCCUCCAAGUGCUCCAGCCGUCCGGCGUCUGCCAGCUACUCAGCUAGUCAAGAAUUGAAGAUGAGCUCGUCAUCUGAAGAUUUUAAUGGUGGCUGUGGACGUGCUAAUAACGUUGAGGUCUUAUUCCCUGGGUCAAAUAUGGUCGGCAGUGAAAGUCAAAGUGCUUCUGUUCCUCAAGUGGCCUCAAAUGCAGGUAGCACUGGUCCUGCGUCUGCUUUAUCAGCUGCUGCAGAUUGUAAAACCCUUGCUGAAAAGGCAAUUGCAGCAUUCCCUCCUGACCUUAGUGCACAAGCAAAUGACCCCAAGAGAAAGGCAAGGUCACAGGACCCAGGAUGGCAGUUUGGGUGGUGGCCAGACACAACAAAGAAGGAUUUUGUUCAGUGUGUCUUCUGUAAGAAGAUUGUGCCAUCUGGAAUCAAGAGGUUUAAGCAGCAUCUAGCCGGUGGGUUUGGUGACACCAUGAAGUGUGCUAGAGUACCAGAAGUGGUUUCAAAGGAGAUGCACACCUAUCUGAGAAGGAACAUGAGGGUUGUGAUUACUGCGGAUGGUGAUGAAGGUGAAGAGGAAGGGGAGCAGAUUGAUGUAGGCCCCCUACCAAGUUCUGGGACAAAAACCAAGCAAACAAAAAAGCAAAUUGCUCAAGCUUCCAUGUCUUCAUUUGUUGUAGCAGCUCCUAUAAAACCAAAUACACAGAAGGCAAGCAAAUCAGUGAGUGCCAUGCUUUGCAAGACUCCAGAGGAAGUUGUAGCAGAGAGACAUAAAAAUAGAACUUCUCAGACCACUCUUGAGCAUUGCACAAAGAAAGGAACAGAAGCAAAGCAAAUUGUUGACGACCAUGUAGCUGAUUUUCUAUAUGAGAACAAGAUUCCAUUGAAUGUCGUCAAUUCAAGAAGCUGGCAGAUUAUGAUGGAGUCCAUUGGUCAGUAUGGUCCUGGAUAUCGUGGCCCAUCAUACUAUGAGGCAAGGGUACCUUGGCUUGAAAGGGCAGUGAAGAGAACAUCAACAUUGAGAGCUAAGCACGAAGAGGCUUGGAAGGAAUAUGGUUGCUCAAUUAUGUCAGAUGGGUGGACUGACAUACGACAACGGCAUUUGAUAAACUUCCUUGCCAACAGUCCAGCGGGGACCUACUUCUUAGGUUCUGUCGAUGCAUCAAGUGAGAUAGCAAAUGCCAAUAUGUUGGCAGAUCUAUUGGAGAAGCAAAUAAUUAAGGUGGGGAAAGAACAUGUGGUACAUGUGAUCACUGACAAUGGAGCCAAUUUCAAAGCAGCAGGGAGGAUCCUUAUGGACAGAAUUCCCCAUCUGUUUUGGACUCCUUGUGCUGCGCAUUGCUUGGAUUUGUUGUUGGAGGAUAUUGGCAAGAUCAAGGAGUUCAACACUUGCAUCAACAUGGCCAAGAAGGUUUCGAGGUUCCUGUACAAGCAUGGGCGACUUCACAGCCUAAUGAGAGAAAAGCUAGGUGGGGACCUUGUUAGGCCAGGUGUGACUCGAUUUGCAACAUCAUUCUUGACUUUGGCAAGCAUGUAUAAGCAUAAGAGUAAAUUACAAGGCUUGUUUGUUAGUGAUGAAUGGAACGGGUCUAAAUUUGCCCUAGUUAAAGAAGGUGAACAAGCUGAAAAUAUUGUCCUUUCAGUAUCAUUUUGGCAAACUCUUGAAAAUUGUCUUCGGGCUUCACAACCACUACUCAUUGCUCUAAGGAUUGCUGACGGUGAUGAGACGCCAACAGCUCCAGAGAUAAUGGCAGCUAUGGACAAAGCAAAAGCUACCAUACAAGAGUCUUUGAAAGAGAAGCCACGAUUACUUGCUGAAGUAAUCUCAUGCUUUGAGAAGAGGUGGGAUACUCAGAUGGAGCAAAAAUUAUAUGGGGCAGCCCUUUAUUUGAAUCCAGGUAAAUUCUUUACCUUAAGGGAUAAAGACAGGAGGCAAGCUGCAAGACUUCGAGCUAUGUUCAAUGAUGUUUUGUGGAAAAUGAUCAGUGAUGAGGAUGAGCAAACAAAAAUAAGUAAACAAGCAGAUGACUAUGAAAGAUCAGAAGGGGAAUGCUUUUCAAAGGCUGGAGCAAUAAGAGAAAGAGAGAAAAAAAGUCCUAUCCUAUGGUGGGGUGCAUAUGGAGGACUGGCAUAUGAACUAUAAAGCUUAGCAAAAAGGGUUAUAAGCCUAUGUUGUGCAGCUUCAGGUUGUGAGAGAAAUUGGUCAGAUUUUGCAGCAAUCCAUACAAAAAAGAGGAACCGACUAGAACACCAGAGGCUUAAUAAAUUGGUCUAUGUCAGUUACAAUAGGAAGAUGGAAAAUAGGUUUCAAACACUAAGAGAGCUGGGAUCCAAAGGAAAAAGAAGCAACCCACUCGUGCUUGAAGAGUUCAUGUGGGAAAAUGAAUGGGUUGAAGAAAAUGAAGAUGAUGGUGACAACAACAUAUGGCAUGCUGUGGAUGAGGCUUUAGGAGCAACUCAGGCUCUUCGAGGCAGAAACUUGCCAAGAAUAGCUGCUGCAGGUGCUGGUUCGUCUUCUCAGCCUCAACGAACAUAUGUUAGGACAAGGAAGCGUUCAAGAAAUACAGCAGCUCAAGAUAUUGGAGAGGAGGAUAGUGAUGAUCAAGAAGAUGGUGUUGCUGCAGCACAAGCAGAACAAACCCAAGAAGCAACUGGAUUGGACGAAGAUGGUGCUGCUGCUGAUGCAUUUUGUUUGGAUGCUGAUCUGCUCUAGGUAGCAGCCAGCAGUGCACAAUAAUUAGAACCACACAACUGGCUGCUGCUCAAGACCGGCUUACUGAUUUGGAGAGGCAAAAGGAUGAUAUUAUGAGGUCCUAUUCCCCUGCUGCACUACUCGACAAACUCCAAACGUCGAUGGCAAAGCUGGACGAGGAGUCUGAGGAGCUGCAGCAGAAGUUCCUGGCAAAGGACAUCGACUUCCCACACUUGGUACAGAAGUACAAGAAGCUCCGCACGGCUUAUCACAAGCAGGCGUUGCUCCAUCUCGCCGGCCAGACAUAACUCCACUGACAUCCGGCCUGCAUCAUGUCAACUUUGCUGUAUUCCUCUGCUUGGCCCUGUUUUAUUGCUGCAGCUUCCUAUAGGGCUUGCCAAACACUUUGCACGAUUUGUUGGAUGAUAAUAAAGCUUUCGUAUGCUUCAUGUUUCGUGGAUGCUGGCUCUGGUGAGAGGGGAAUUGGAGGGAAUCCAUGGAGAAAUUCUCUUGCUAUUCAAAAUUGUCCCAUGAUCUCCUCUUAUUAGGGUAAAUUCUUCUUAGGGUCUGUUUGUUUCCGUUCAUUUUGAUGAAUUGUAAUUUAACUAACACAGUAGGCUAUUUUUUAGAAUGUGACAUUUCACAACUUUCUAAAGUGUAUAUAUAAGCUUAUCUCAAAUUCAUGAGGUGAAAGAUGAAAAUUAAUUCCAUAGAUUUACAUGCUA